rnacentral:rRNA from 1 species
GACGAACGCUGGCGGCGUGCCUAAUACAUGCAAGUCGAACGCUUCUUUCCUCCCGAGUGCUUGCACUUAAUUGGAAAGAGGAGUGGCGGACGGGUGAGUAACACGUGGGUAACGUACCCAUCAGCGGGGGAUAACACUUGGAAACAGGUGCUAAUACCGCAUAACAGUUUAUGCCGCAUGGCAUAAGAGUGAAAGGCGCAUUCGGGGGUCGCUGAUGGAUGGACCCGCGGUGCAUUAGCUAGUUGGUGAGGUAACGGCUCACCAAGGCCACGAUGCAUAGCCGACCUGAGAGGGUGAUCGGCCACACUGGAACUGAGACACGGCCCAGACUCCUACGGGAGGCAGCAGUAGGGAAUCUUCGGCAAUGGACGAAAGUCUGACCGAGCAACGCCGCGUGAGUGAAGAAGGUUUUCGGAUCGUAAAACUCUGUUGUUAGGGAAGAACAAGGACGUUAGUAACUGAACAUCCCCUGACGGUAUCUAACCAGAAAGCCACGGCUAACUACGUG